GCGUGCCUUAGGACCGGCUUAAAUUGGGCGUUCUGAUCCCUGUUUACUGCUAAAUCCUGCUUGUAGAACUUUUUUCAUGGUUCUUUCCGUGAGAUAAUUUCUAAAUUUAGAAAAUGUAGCCCAUUUCUUCCAUCUCGGUUAGCUACACCUUGACCUGACUUAUUAGCUGUAUGUUGGCUAUUUUGCUUACUUUUAUAUCCUUCAUAGGGUAGGCUAGUGACGGUGGUAUAUAGGCGGUAUUGGCAAGAGAUGGUUAGGUGGAUCGUGGAUUAUCGAUUAUAGAACAGGCUCCUCUAGGGGGGUUUGAGGCACCGCCAAGUCCUUAGAGUUUUAAGCGUUUUGCUCGUAGUUCUCUGGCGGAUAUUUUUGUGUAUUAAAUAUCUGGAUUUAUGGCUAAGCAU
rnacentral:rRNA from 1 species